AAUACCUAUGGCUGGCAAUACAUAAAUUAAUGAAUAAAUCAUUGAAUAAAUGCUUCGGUUCUCAGCUUCAUCUUUAAAAAAUCAUGUUUAAUUGGCAAAUUCCCAUGUAGUUCUUCAGUUUCUGUCAUGAUUUUUUCUUUGUUUCAAACGGUUUACUUCCAGGUUUACAUUAUGUUGUGAAUCCCAAAUUUUCAAAGUGGUCUCAGACAUUUGGACUUUAUUGUAUACCGUAACUUUAGAAGAGUGUUGGCAAAUAAGAGUAAACCUGAAACCAGCGCAACCUGGAACAAUGAGUUCUCCUUUGAUGGAUUUCAAAAGUUUGAGGUUUUGGUGUCAGAAAUAAGAGCUGAAUAAGUCAGCAAGACAUGCACAAACAUGUAAAGAUGUGUUAUGAAUCUACAAAAAUGUUACAGGAUUUAUUAUUCAUCACAGCCCAUUCUCCAGAUGUUAAGAAGCUUGUACUGUAUGACCUCAUGUGCAGGUUCAUAAGAUACAAUGACUUCAUGCAGCUGAUCUUAAGACAGGAAGCACAUAUAUCGCUCUAAACAAUAGAACAAAGAGACUUUCUCACAUUCAGCAUCUCUUCACCAGACAUCCUUUAUUUCUACAUUGUACUCAGAUUACAGCUGGCUGCUAUAGCACAAUAGCAACUGUCCACUUUUCAGCAGCCUUGGUUUGCUCAGUAUUUUUCCUAUUUUUUCUCUGUAGACACUUUUACUGACUUUAAAUGUCUGACUUAAGUGGAGGACGGAGAUACAGAGCUGAAAAGAUGUGACAAUAUUCAAAACGAGUUCUGCGGUGAUGAGGUGAACAGCUAACCUGUGUAACUGACAAUGCGAGUUUUGAUAAAUAAAAAAAGUUCAAACAAAGCCAAGCUACCAAAAUGACAUAGACAGCGAAAAAAAAAAAAAAUGAGAAAAGACUGCAGAGCGUUCGAAAGAUCUAAGUACAGGAAACCAGGGAGAUGAGAGAGGUUUCCUGUCUGCUGUGUUGGACAGAGAGAAGGUAACACCUGAAGGUUUGUUGCACAUUCCUCAAACAUAAAUAAACCACUCCUCAGACCCACAUGCAAUAGCCUGAAGAACUAUGUUUUCGUGCAGUGAACAGGUUACAUGUAGGCGUAUUUUGACUGGAAGAAAUCUCACCCGUGCGCUGAGAAUCGCUCAUAGCACUACUCAAGCUCGUGUGAGCAGGGAGAGAAAUGUAAGUGAGAAAUGUGCAAGCUUCGUUCAGAGCCAGAUAACUUGGAUGUUUGCCCUGCUGUGUUUUCACUUCCGUCUCACCUUCUGACCUGCGGUGAUGGACUGUCAGCUUACUGGAACACAUGCAGUGCCUUUCCAAGGGCGGCGUAGUUCUUUUCGAUUUGAAUUGAUAUCUGAUAUGGUGUUUCUCUUCUCUCUUUACCAAAGACAUUCCUAUAACAGCGACCACAGCCCACAUUUAGAGUUUUAAAGAAAAAUGGUUUCAACCCUGUUUGAAACCUCAUAUUUCCUGAAAAUGAGAUACCACAUCACAUCACAAUGUGUUUGAGAGCUCCAAUAGCUGAUAGCGUUAUUUCAGAUUGCUUUGCUGGAACAUUCUCAUCAUUCAAAAAUAUUGUACAACAUACACAAACAAUCAUGUGUUUUUAUGAAGCUGCACUGGAUCCUGACUAACCCAUUCUUCAUAUUUAAAGGGAUAGUUCCACACUAAUAAAAUUAGUUAUUAGUGCCAGGUUGGGGCGCACAUUCAACUGCAAAUUUAAAAUUUUAUGCAUAUGCACUGAAAUUGUUUUAUGUACUAAUAUAUCAGUACAUACUAAUUAGAAGUCGAUCGAUAUAUGAUUUUGCUGAUAUGAUAAUAACAUGUUUAAAGAAAGGCAAUACAAAUAUUAUUGUGCUAAUAUUAUUAAACACAUUCAUUAUAUAGAUUAUACUAUAGUAUAAUCUAUAUAUUGAAUGUGUUAAAUAAUGUUCUUAGUCUUUCCUUCCUGUGAUGGGGCGGCACAAAUAGAAACAGCAUUUUUACUUUGAAAUGUGCAGCUUUUUUUAGUUUAAUAAUCACAUUAGGCUGUACUGCAAUUUGGGGACCUAUUAAGCAAAAUUCACUUUUUGAACACAGAUGUGUGUCCACAGUGUGUGUAAAUAACCAGCCUACAAUGGUAAAAAUCCACCACCCCUUUUUUUUAUAAUCCCCAUAAAUCAUAAACAGUCUCUCCAAACACGCAGUUCCAGAUUUCCCCCUACUCUCACGUAUGAGUAGGGAAGCUCCGCCCAUGACUGCUGAUGAUCUGCCCUGUUAGCAUAGAUACCGCCCUGAGAGAACCGCGGCAGUCCGCCAUUUCUGUUUCCUUGCUGUAGCAGCUGGAGAUAUACAAUGUCUGCACCAAAAAAACAUUUCAAAUCUUCUGUUACUGGAUGUACUAAUGAACAUAAGAGCCUCCAUAGACUCUCUGCAACUGAGCCACUGAGGACACCGUGGUUGAAUUGCAAUUAUGAAGGAAAAGUGCCGGAGAAAGUCGUAAAAUGUUAUAUAUUUGCGCAAAUCAUUUUAUGCUGGACGCUGGAUUUGCAUAAAAGAUUAACAUGAUGGUACAUGCUAGUCAAUGAUUUGAAUCAACUCCACAGCAACUACUUACAUUUAUCCACCAACCAUUCAGAAACAUCCAGUUGCAUUCUUAACUUCUUCCUGAGUCUCUCCAUCAGUGUCCGACUCCGGUUUGAACAAUGUAAGGCUGAACACCGUUACUGACAAUCAUCAUUUUGGCUGCGUGAGAUUCUCCAUUGUUGUUGUUGUUGAGCAAAUGAAGCGCAAGCGGUUAAAGCUCCACCUUCUUCUGGAAAGGGGGCAGGGAGCAGCACCUCAUUUGCAUUUAAAGGGACACACACAAAAACAGUGUGUUUUUGCUCACACCCAAAUAGGGGCAAAUUUGACAAGCUAUAAUACAUGUUCUGUGGGGUACUUUGAGCUGAAACUUCAAAGACACAUUCUAGGGGCACCAGAGACUUAUAUUACUUCUUGUGAAAAGGGGUAUAAUAGGUCCCCUUUAAGACCUCUUAAAAUGAUUAUUAAGACUUUUGUUAUACUAUUUAAAUUUAUGACCUUAAAUUUGAUCAAACUGAAUUUAAGACUUUUAAGGACCCGCACGAACCCUGUCCAAACCAAUAUGAUGUUAUUUUGUCUGUGAAAGACAAAAGUAGAAAUUUUGAAGAAUGUUCACACAGCUCUUUUCUAUACAAGAAUAGUUCAUAGUGACAUAGUUUCAGUUUCUAUCCAGGAAUAUUUGAGAUUAGUUUGAGAAAACUCUGGUUUUUAGGCCUCAAGAAGGUGGAUUGGUUUUUAGCUGUGUUCUUCUGGACCAAACCCUGAGCUGACUGGGUUGUUUUUAUCGAGCAUUGUGAGCCUGCUGAAUUUUUUGUCAACUCUAAACCUACUACUCAGACCCCCGGUUUCAUAUCUUAAAAAUAUGUCAGUGCCAUUGUUUUGUCUCAAGAUGCACACCAGUACUGUAUUUUUUCUAAGGCAUGUUUAUAAAAGCUACUUAAAUGUCCUAAUUAAACUAAGGCCUAAUUCUGGCUUAAUCUGAACCCCGUUUGUUAAACCAGGCCAGAGUUUGUUCAGCUAGGUUCAUGCAACAGGCCAAUGGUGUUUUUACAGGUACAGUCAAUAUCAACUUUGUUGAAAACUAAUUAUACAAAUAUUCUACUUAUCUUCCAUGAAAAAAAAUACUAUCACACAGGAUUGGAUGGACCUGAAGAUGAGUAACUAUUCCUUUAAGCAGAAUUGGUAAGGGAGAUUCAACUCACACGCAUUGCAUUAUAUUCGGCGGAACCAUUAAAUCCGUUAUAUUUUACCAAACAAAAAAUAGAAAAUCCAAGUGAACACAUAGCUUCAUUGUGUCUCACAUGUUUCCGUCAUGAUGCGUUUUGUGAUGUUAAGGGUGUUUCAAAAGAUUGACUCAUUAUUCGUGUAAAUAUGACUAAGCACUUCGCAUCGCAUGUCAUUGACUAGGAGUCAUCUGUCAUCUUGUACUUCCAGUUGUCUGCCAUUGAAACUAAAUAGUUCAAAUAUAUAAGGUAAAGUACAUUUUUAAAAAAUACACAAGUAUGCUUAGCACAGGGGAAAAAGACAAUGGCAAAAAAUAUCUGUCAACAAUAAUGGACAUCACCAGAUUUUGAAAUUAUUAAAUGAUUUAAAUAAUUGUCUGACACUUUACAACACAUUUAAUAACACUCCUAUCUAAGACAGCAAAUACAGACAUCGACAGGCCAAUACAGUGCCUGCAGAUGUGUGGGAUACCUCAUAUUUUCUGACCUAUUAAUGGUGAGAGAGUCUUUCUAUGGAUUAUGUUUGCUCAGUCGAGUCAAAUCAAUACACGAAGAUCAACGAAGGUCUUACGGGUGUAAAACGGCACAAGGCGACAUCUCUUCUCCGAUGACUUGUUUACUGGUGUGAGGGCGGGACAACCAUCAAAAGCAAACCAUAAUGGCCCAACAAUCCAAUCAAUUCUCAAUGGACAAAAUCAAUUUUCUAAUUUUCUUUUGUUCAAGAAGCAAAAGACAUAUGUUACAAUAGGGAAGAAAAGACUAUCGCAACUUCUGUUUCAGAACUACUUGCACACUGUCUGACCUUUUUCAAAAAUGCAUUAGUAGUCCUCUGAAAUGCAUUAAUAAGCAGUCAUGCAUGUCUUUGAUGCAUCUGUCUAAUUAUAGUGCAUGCACAUAUGUUAUUUCACACAAACAUGAAUGGCAUACUUACCAGAAACUAACCUGGGUGUGACAGAUUCGUUGAGCACCAUUGAAUUGUGAAUAUAUUCAUGAAAUAACACAUUACACAAACACACGUCAAAGGGAAACCACUCCUGUUUUUUUUAAAGAAAUCAACAUCAACAAAUACAGCAAAUGGACCAAGUUUCAGCUGCAGUUUCCCAAUUUCUGUUCCUCUUGUGUGACGCCCCUGGAAAAGUGAUUGCCAUUGCACUGUCUACAACACUGACGCAAACGGAACAGCCAUUAUACAAUGUAUCUUCCUUCCUGAAAAUAUUCCAAAGCCACAAAAAUAGAAAACCUGCAAGACCCCAUUAUUCUCAAUCUAAAGAUCAAGAAAACAUACCAAAAAGAACAAAGAGAGGCAGUUUGAAGAAAAAACACAGGAAACUAAUGGCUGACCAGUUUAGAGAGAAGUAAAUGUCAUUCCCACUGUUUCUCUGACAAAUAAAGAGUGCAUGAGUUGCAUAGUCA